rnacentral:sRNA from 1 species
UACAAAACAUUGUAUGCUAGCCCUAAAUAC